rnacentral:rRNA from 1 species
AUUGAACGCUGGCGGAAUGCUUUACACAUGCAAGUCGAACGGCAGCACGGACUUCGGUCUGGUGGCGAGUGGCGAACGGGUGAGUAACAUAUCGGAACGUAUCCAAUAAUGGGGGAUAACUAAUCGAAAGGUUGGCUAAUACCGCAUACGCCCUACGGGGGAAAGCUAGGGACCUUCGGGCCUGGCGUUAAUGGAGCGGCCGAUAUCUGAUUAGCUAGUUGGUGGGGUAAAGGCCCACCAAGGCGACGAUCAGUAGCUGGUCGGAGAGGACGACCAGCCACACUGGAACUGAGACACGGUCCAGACUCCUACGGGAGGCAGCAGUGGGGAAUUUUGGACAAUGGGCGCAAGCCUGAUCCAGCCAUUCCGCGUGAGUGAAGAAGGCCUUCGGGUUGUAAAGCUCUUUCGCAAGGGAAGAAAACUCAGCCUCUAACAUAGGCUGAGGUUGACGGUACCUUGAUAAGAAGCACCGGCUAACUACGUGCCAGCAGCCGCCGUAA